CUGCGUCUGAUUAGCUAGUUGGUGAGGUAACGGCUCACCAAGGCAACGAUCAGUAGCCGACCUGAGAGGGUAAUCGGCCACAUUGGAACUGAGACACGGUCCAAACUCCUACGGGAGGCAGCAGUGGGGAAUAUUGCACAAUGGGCGAAAGCCUGAUGCAGCAACGCCGCGUGAGCGAUGAAGGCCUUUGGGUCGUAAAGCUCUGUCCUUGGGGAAGAAAAAAAUGACGGUACCCUUGGAGGAAGCCCCGGCUAACUACGUGCCAGCAGCCGCGGUAAUACGUAGGGGGCAAGCGUUAUCCGGAAUUAUUGGGCGUAAAGAGUGCGUAGGUGGUUUCGUAAGCGCGAGGUGAAAGGCUAUGGCUCAACCAUAGUAAGCCUUGCGAACUGUGAGACUUGAGUGCAGGAGAGGAAAGUGGAAUUCCUAGUGUAGCGGUGAAAUGCGUAGAUAUUAGGAGGAACACCAGUGGCGAAGGCGACUUUCUGGACUGUUACUGACACUGAGGCACGAAAGCGUGGGGAGCAAACAGGAUUAGAUACCCUGGUAGUCCACGCCGUAAACGAUGAGCACUAGGUGUCGGGGUCGCAAGACUUCGGUGCCGCAG
rnacentral:rRNA from 1 species